CUACGGGGUGCUGCAGUGGGGAAUAUUGCACAUUGGAGGAAACUCUGAUGCAGCAACGCCGCGUGGAGGAUGACGCAUUUCGGUGUGUAAACUCCUUUUAUAUGUCAAGAAAAUGACGGUAGCAUAUGAAUAAGCACCGGCUAACUCCGUGCCAGCAGCCGCGGUAAUACGGAGGGUGCAAGCGUUACUCGGAAUCACUGGGCGUAUGGGACGCGUAGGCGGGAUAUCAAGUCAGGUGUGGAAUCCUACAGCUUAACUGUAGAACUGCACUUGAAACUGGUAACCUAGAGUAUGGGAGGGGGAGAUGGAAUUAGUGGUGUAGGGGUAAAAUCCGUAGAUAUCACUAGGAAUACCUAAAGCGAAGGCGAUCUCCUGGAACAUAACUGACGCUAAGGCGUGAAAGCGUGGGGAGCAAACAGGAUUAGAUACCCUAGAGUC
rnacentral:rRNA from 1 species